AGGAGGGGGAGCCGGAUUGCUUUCGUGGUAGCCAGAUGCUAGCUGAAAAGGCAAGUGGCCAACGCAGGUCAAAGAGCCCUUGUGGCAAGCUUGGUGACAAACGCUGGGUGCCGUUCGCCCCGUUUGCUCUGGAUGUCAAGCCGACUGGGGCUCCUGGAGGCAGCCAAACAAAAACAAACCAAAACAUCCUCCUCCGGUUUCAUGGAAGCACCAUGUGGAUUCUUCGGGCCUUGAAUGAUCCUCUGCCAAGAGCCGGCCAGAUGCGGGGGUCCCAGAUAGAGCCGGGGAACCUCUAAUUCCUCAGAACCUGCAACGCAGCCGGAGGUGCCGGGUGAUUGCCGACGGAUGGAGAAGAAAAGAGCUUGAUGGCGCACUAGGUUCCGAAGAUGAAGGAAGUUACCAAGUGCGCACCUAGGUGCCUUCGCUGGCAGCAGAUGAACCCCAGCCCCAGCCCCGGUCUCUCUUCCUUUCCUUUACCCAGGAACGCAGGUGCAGAGAGCCGUGUUGGGUGCAGAGCCAAGAAAUUACUUGGGAUGGCAUGAUUCAUCCGCUGGCUCGUGUUUGUGCGAGCAGAGGGACAUUAGCCAACAGUCCACUGCCCACUGACUUGCUUAACGACUGUCUCGGGGCUUGCGUGCAGGUGGCUGCGAGGGAGAGAAUUUUUGAUGAAAAUGUUGAUCAUUAAAAAAAAAACCUGUCAAAAGGU